UGAAUACGAGAUGCUACGGCGUCGAAGCAGUCUAUGUCAUACUUCCAAGAAAAGCUCGCACUGUCAUAAACAAAUAAUGCCUGUACCAUAACCGACACAGGUGGGUAGGUAGAGUAUACUAAGGGGCGCGAGAUAACUCUCUCUAAGGAACUCGGCAAAAUGACUCCGUAACUUCGGGAGAAGGAGUGCCUUAUUUAUAAGGUUGCAAUAACAAGAUCCAAGCAACUGUUUAUCAAAAACACAGGUCUCCGCUAAGUCGUAAGACGACGUAUGGGGGCUGACGCCUGCCCAGUGCCAGAAGGUUAAAGAAGUUGGUUAGCAUUCGCGAAGCUGAUAACUGAAGCCCUGGUGAACGGCGGCCGUAACAAUAACGGUCCUAAGGUAGCGAAAUUCCUUGUCGGGUAAGUUCCGACCCGCACGAAAGGCGUAAUGAUUUGGAUACUGUCUCGGAGAGGGGCUCGGUGAAAUAGACUUGUCUGUGAAGAUGCGGACUACCUGCACCAGGACAGGAAGACCCUAUGAAGCUUUACUGUAACUUGAGAUUGAAAUUGGACUUUACUUGCGCAGUAUAGGUGGGAGGCGUUGAUAAUAUUCUUGCGGGAUUAUUUGAGCCAUCAGUGAGAUACCACUCUUGUAAUGUUAGAUUUCUAACUUUGUAUCAUUAUCUGGUCAAAGGACAGUUUCAGGCGGGCAGUUUGACUGGGGCGGUCGCCUCCUAAACGGUAACGGAGGCGCACAAAGGUUUCCUCUGAACGGGUAGAAAUCGUAUCUAGAGUGUAAAGGCAUAAGGAAGCUUGACUGUGAGACCUACAAGUCGAGCAGGGACGAAAGUCGGUCUUAGUGAUCUGACGGUGCUGAGUGGAAAGGCCGUCACUCAACGGAUAAAAGUUACUCUAGGAUAACAGGCUGAUCUCCCCCAAGAGUUCACAUCGACGGGGAGGUUUGGCACCUCGAUGUCGGCUCAUCGCAUCCUGGGGCGGUAGUACGUCCCAAGGGUUGGGCUGUUCGCCCAUGAAAGCGGUACGCGAGCUGGGUUCAGAACGUCGUGAGACAGUUCGGUCCAUAUCCGGUGUAGGCGUUAGAAUAUUGAGAGGAGCCUUCUUUAGUACGAGAGGACCGAGAAGGACAUACCUCUGGUGUACCAGUUAUCGUGCCAACGGUAAACGCUGGGUAGCUAUGUAUGGAGUGGAUAACCGCUGAAAGCAUCUAAGUGGGAAGCCCACCUCAAGAUAAGUAUUCUU
rnacentral:rRNA from 1 species